UUUCCCUUUCAUUUCAAACAAAUCAAUAAACUUACGGGAUCUAUAUACAAUUUCCAAAACUUCAGUACCCAAUCUGUAUCAUUUUCUUUUUCUAUCAUUUCCAAAUUACACCUUAUUAUACCUUUGCUCCUCUCUCUAUCACCAUAACACUCCCCAUUAGCUCAAUCGGAUCUUCCUUUAGACCCGAAUUGCUUUCCAACAAAACCUAACCCUAAAUUCCUUCUCAAUGGCCAGCGAUUCCAAUGAACCUUCUCGUCGGAAGCACCACCGUUCUCCUCCUUCCGACGAAGAAAACGGCACCGUUGAACCGUCGAAACGCCGUAAGCACCGCCACCACCACCGUCACCGUCACCACCGUCACCGUCACCAUAGCAAAAAAUCCGAUUCGAAAUCCGAGAAAAUGGAAACGGGUCAAGGUGAAGGUGAAAUUGAAGCGGUGAAGAUUGGUACUGUUACAGGUGUUUCUACUUUGGGGAUUGAUUAUGAUAUGGAGGAAGGAGAAAUUAUCGAAGAUGAUGAUGAGAAUAUCGUGACGGAUAAAUUGGGGAAUGAAGAUGAAUUGGACAUGGAAUUGCAUGAAGCUCAAGGACAAGGGCCUGCAGACAAUGUGGAAAAAGUUGACGGAGAUUCCAUUGCUUCAGGACGGCAUGAUGAACAAAGGAAAAGUAGAAAGACUGAUAGUUCUGGAGAGAGGAAAUCCAGUGACAAGCAUUUAGCUAAUGGUAGUUACAUAGAUGAAUUUCAUAAGUUGCACUCUGAAACACGGAAAGAAGAUAGUUUUGCUGGUGAAGAAAGUAGAAAGCAAAAAAGCUACAACGAGGAUGAAAGUAACUUACAGGAUCAAAUAAUAAAAUCCUCUACUCCUGAAAAUGCUGGGAAGAAAUCUGUCAGGGUAUCAUCUUCUUAUGAUGAUCACCAUGAAGAGAGACAUGUUACAAGGUCAUCAAAGUCUCCUGAUCGCUCCAGAGGAAGAUCACGAUCCAAAAGCGUUUUGGAGGAGUCUUUCCUUGUACCUAAGUCUCAUGAGAAAGACGAUGCAUAUGAGAAGGAAAGCAGAUAUAGAAGUAACAUUGAUGAUGAAAAACUUGGAUACAACAGGGACUAUCAACAUGGAAGCCGAGAGUCGUCAAGGGACAGGGAAAAAGAGCAUAAUUCUAGUUACAGCAGACGCUCAAGAGACGGGUAUCAUAACAGGGAGAGUGUCGACAGAUAUUGGGAGUGUAGCAUGGAGAAUUACAGGGAUAGAGUGAGAGAGAAAGGCAGGGAGCGUGAGUGGUCUAGAGAAAGGGGAAGGGAGAGCGAUAAGGAGAGGAGAAGGGGGAGUGAUAAGGAGAGAGGAAGGGAGAGCGAUAAGGAGAGGGGAAGGGAGAGUGAUAGGGAGAGGGAAAGGAAGAGGGACAGAGAGAGGGAAAGAGAUAAAACUCGAGAUAGGGAAAGGGAGAGGGAUAGAGAACGAGAAUAUGAGAGGGGGAGGGGGAGGGAGAGGGAGAGGGAGAGAGAUAGUUAUAAAGAGAGGGAAGAGAGGGAAAGGAGGAAUAGGGACAGGGAUAGGGAAAGCAGAGGACGAAGUAGGGAGUCAGAUAGAGAUAGAUAUAAUGAUAGGUCCAGCAGACAACGGGAUGAUGGUCUUGAUUAUAAUAGACGUAGUAGACAUUAUGAGACCGACAUUGAGAAUGAAAGGCUAAUUAAUCACAUAAAAACUGAGAACACGAAGCAAAAUGCUGUAGAGACAGACAUUGAGAGAUCUAGAAGAGAUGAAGUUGAACAGGAGGAUUAUGAGGAAAAAGUUGUAUUCCAGCUUGCUGAACAGGAAGAAGAAGAUGAACUUGAUAGAAUUAAGGAGGAGAGCAGAAGGAGAAGGCAAGCUAUUCUUGAAAAAUAUAAGAUUAAGCACACACAGAAAGAACAAGUUACUCAAUCCGGGGACGUUGUUGAGAUUCAUAUGGAUCAGUCUACUCAAAGGCCAGCAGCCGGAGAGAAUGUUGUGCCAGUGUCGGUUGAUGGUAAAAGCAAUGGUGCAGAUGUCCAUGUUGAUGAGACUACAUUUUCUGUUGGGAAAUCACCUCUGCAGGGCAGUCAUAUUGCUGACGAGCAGGCUUCCGGAGCAGGUGGACUGGGACAGGGUACUCCAAAGAGUGAGAGGUCGGCUGACAUGUUUUGUGAUGAUAUAUUUGGAGAAUCGCCUGCUGGCAUCAGGAAGACGGGCAAAGGAGAAGGCGUGGCAGUUGAGCGCAGUGGCCUUCAUGAUAACUGGGAUGAUCCGGAAGGUUAUUAUAGUUAUCGUUUCGGAGAAAUUCUUGAUGGCCAUUAUGAGAUUGUUGCUGCUCAUGGUAAAGGAGUCUUUUCUACUGUUGUUCGGGCUAAAGAUCUCAAGGCUAGACCUGGUGACCCCGAGGAAGUAGCAAUAAAAAUGAUACGCAAUAAUGAAACAAUGUAUAAAGCAGGUAUGGAAGAGUUGGUCAUACUGAAGAAGCUAGUUGGUGCAGAUCCUGAAGACAAGCGUCACUGUGUUCGUUUUAUUUCUAGCUUCAAAUACCGGAAUCAUCUCUGUUUAGUUUUUGAGUCUCUUCAUAUGAACCUCCGUGAGGUUCUGAAGAAGUUUGGACGUAACAUUGGACUCAAACUCACUGCUGUGAGGACGUAUGCGAAGCAACUUUUCAUUGCUUUGAAGCAUUUAAAAAAUUGUGGUGUGCUUCAUUGUGAUAUUAAACCCGACAACAUGUUGGUAAAUGAAGCGAAAAAUGUGCUGAAGCUUUGCGACUUUGGUAAUGCUAUGUUUGCUGGAAAAAACGAAAUUACUCCAUACCUCGUGAGCCGUUUUUACCGUGCCCCAGAGAUCAUUCUUGGCUUGUCGUACGAUCAUCCGAUGGAUAUAUGGUCAGUUGGUUGCUGUUUGUUUGAGCUUUAUGCUGGAAAAGUGUUAUUUCCAGGUCCAACUAAUAAUGACAUGCUUCGUCUUCAUAUGGAAUUGAAAGGUCCAUUUCCAAAAAAGAUGCUUAGAAAGGGUGCAUUUACAGAUCAACAUUUUGACCAAGAUCUCAAUUUUCUUGCCACCGAUGAGGAUCCUGUUACAAAGAAGGCUAUGAGGAAGCUGAUUGUUAACAUCAAGCCAAAAGAUGUCAGUUCAAUAAUUUCAGGUUCUUCAGGUGAAGACCCAAAGAUGUUGGCUCACUUCAAGGAUCUUAUGGAGAGAAUAUUUGUGUUAGAUCCAGAAAAGAGAAUGACAGUUUCCCAGGCAUUGAGCCAUCCAUUCAUCACGGGCAAGUGAACAACAACGAUGAUUUUCUUCUAGGGGCAUGCUGUUGCACUAGACACUAGUGCAUUUUGAUCAUAUAGUUUAUAUUCAGUUCUCUAAUCAUUGGGCUUUAUCUGUUUUUAUCAACUAUCCUGGGUUAAGUGCUUCGGAGCUUGGCAUGGUUGAAGUUGCAGAGAAGAUUGCUGACUGUGGGAGAUCUAAAUCUUGGCAGUUCUUUCAGUGGAAUGUUUUCUGUUCUAUCGAUAUCUACCAGGGCUUUGCUGCAAGAUUCAGUGAUUUAGAUGCUUAAAAGGCACCCUGGAGAAGGUACCUUGGUUUGUUUGUUAGGAAUUACUGUGACACCCUUUAAAUGUUGUGAAUCUUCUUGAUUCAUCUAACAUCAGCCAUAAUUUGUGAAUUUUCUGUGUUAAUUUUAAUUUUCCUUGAGAAGUUCUGAUUUCUGGACUUCAAUUUGGUCUUGCCUGCAAAAUGCAUGCCUGAGGGUGGCUUGUUAAUGAGCCUCCUUAGGAUAGAAUAGUAAAGCUAUCAAGAGCUGGAGUUCUUAUUCUAUUUGGGGUCAUUGUUUUCCGAAAAUAAUUUUGAGUCAUUCUUAUUUCUUCUAUUUCUUAAAUCCUUUUUAUAAAAUCACUUUCUAAUAAGUUGCAUUGCAUCUGAUCCAUGGUAUGGUCAUCCUGGAGCAAUGUAUGACUGGAGUUGAUCAGAUGCCAGCCUUGAAGUGAGAGUUUUCCCAGGUGUGGUUUCAUGCAUCUGCAGUUCUAGUAAGUAUCCUUGACUUUCAUUGUGUCUUUGGUGUGGUAGGUGGGUAUCGUUUGAAAACCUGAUAUUUUUCUAUCGAUGUCUUGCAUUCAACGUUUGUUAAUCAUCCAUGGAAAUGACCUAUAUGGAGGCGGAUUCAAAUUCUUAUCUGGUUCUUCUAAUAAAAUUGGCCAUUGUAGAUCAAAUCUAUCUCAAAUUUCAAUUGUCCCUUUUCUGGACACUUCACGUGCAGAUGUAGCUCCUCUAAGCAAGUGCAAUUAGAGACUGUGAUUCGUUUAGGUUUUGAUCGGCAAGAAUGAAGUAUCAGUCUAAGCUACAACAUGUCUUUGUUGAAGCACCAGGAAAUGGUCUGCCUUCAAUUGUUCUUGAAGCCAACUGAUUGGAACCUUCUACCUUGGAUGAAAAGAUUUGGAGGGAAAUUCAUUGGAAUGUGUGGGAGUGUUACUGCAUGGUGCUCUCCACUUGCCAUGCCUUUGAAUCAUGCGGGUUUAAUAGUCCGAGCAACUUAGAGUCUCCUAAUGGUCAAUGACAGUGUGGAGGCAAAGAACGCUAAGUGAUUUCUUCCCAUUUCCUAAUCCUCGUGGUAGAACUACUCGAUAUCUAUGUUGUUAGGAGGUAGUAUCUGGUAGACUAGUUGAGGUACACACGAGUUUGCCUGGACACUACUGUCAUUAAAAAGAAGUGUUACAGUGCCCUCCCUGGUAUACUCGGUUAAUAAGCCCUUACAGUGAACUAAGAACCAAAAUAAGCCACCUCUUUAAUAAAUAACCAAAAUAGGCUAAGCGUAGCAAAUUAUUACGUUUUACCCAUUUUUUUUAACGGUGCUUUAACAGAGAUCUACAGUAAAUAACUUUUUGUAAAACGUAAGAAAUUCUUACGUUUAUUUGUAAAACGUAAGAAUUUAUUACGUUUGACACAACCCCCCCCAAAAAAAAGUGUGUUGUUAAAUCAACAAACUUUAGUCAAAUCGUGUAAAUUGUAAUAAAAAGUUACAACUUAUAUAAACUGUAACUUUUUAUUACAAUUUAUAUAAAUAGACCUACCAAGCGGAUGAAAAAAUUUAUUGUGUGUAGAUAGUUUGAAUGAAAAAAUUUACUGUACAUUGGCACACUCACAAGAACCAUAGGAUUAAAUUGUGAUUUUAUAUGCUUACCUCACCGACAACAUAAAUCAAUUUUACAGUAUUAAUACAAUUUAACUUUUUAUAUUUUAUUAUUACUCUAUUUUUUAAUAUUAUAUUAUUGAAUUUGUUAUGAAAUGUAACAUAUUUUUGUAGCUCAAUCUAACCUGAUGGUACAGGACCUCAAAACACUUAAAAGUGGUAUAAAAUUGUUUAGGAGGUAUGACACUUUAUUUAGAUUUACAUUAUAUAUACACGAAUAAGGUAAAUAAUUUUACACUAUCAACAUCUAAGAGAAAGAAAUGUAAGGCGAUGGGGACUGGUUGGUUGGUGAAACUAUUUAUAUAACUUGUAACUAAGAAAUGUAAGGCGAUGGGGACUGGUUGGUUGGUGAAACUAUUUAUAUAACUUGUAACUUUUUAUUACAAUUUACACGAUUUGACAAGUUGAGAUAAAACUGUUGAUUUGACAAUGCACUUUUUUUUUAAUUUUAUUUUUGUGUUUCUUACAUUUUACAAAAAGUUCAUUUUAAUUAUAAAUCUCCGUUAAAGCACCGUUACAAAAAAGGGUCAAACGUAAUAAAUUAUGUUUAGCCUAUUUUGGUAACUUAUUAAAGAGGUGGCUUAUUUUGGUCACUUUGUGGGUGUUUGGAAGAUAUUAUAAUCUAGUCAAAAUAGAUUAUAAGUUGCUUUUUGCUUAAAAAUGUGUGUGGCAAUUUUUCUAAUUGCUUAAAAAAAGUUAUUUUUGGUUUUUUUUAAGCCAAAAACAAGAAUCACAAAAUCCUAACUUGUUUUUUUUGGAACUUAUAAUCUAUUUAAGUUGACCAAAUAACUUACCUUUGUAUCCCUUGUAAUUAUUACUUAUUCCAAUUUUACCCUUUAGUCCUAAUUCUCCUUCACUACUCCUUUCUACUUAGUUACUACCAGCUUAGGUGAUGAUAUGCAGCCUGCAAGAAUAACAACUAUUAUACCUCAAUCCAAAUACUUAAGACACGCAUGUUUGAUUUCACUGGAUCAUUAGUCUUCUCAGACAACUUCCCUCCAUAGGGUUUUGAGGUUUACCUCGCUUUUUUUCUUAUAACCUUGAACCCCAAUAGCAUUGCACCUAUGAACCAGAGCAUAUGGAGGUCUACGUAACACAUAAACAAACCAUCUCAAGUGGCUUCUAUUCUUUACGUGUGCAACUUACACCCUCAAAGGUUAAAAGCAACAAUUCUAGUUUAAUAAGAAAAUGGAAGUGUCGUAAAUUGCACCUUAAUGAUACAAAAUCUUAACGUAACCAUGAAGAAACAAAUAAUCUUUUAAUAUAUAACUAUUUUUUUCAAACACAAACAUUCAACUCUUAAACUCUUAGAAAAUUUUUUUUUUAGUGCAUAGUCAUUCAUGAAAAUAUAUUUUUUUAAUAUAUAUAUAUAUUAAUUUAAAUUUGAAUCAGUUUAGCAAUAAAAAUUAAUAAUAAUCAACUCUAUAUAUUAUUAACAACUAUAAGGGUAUUUUAGUCAUUUUGACCAAAAAAAGUGCUUAAAAGCUUUAUUUACCAAACUCAUCAAUAAUUUUUUUUCAGUUUCAGCACUUUUAUCCAAACACUUAACUGCUUAUUUUUAAAAUAAGUUCAACACUUUCAAAAGCACUUUUAAAGAACUUUUUUUUCAGCCGCUUUUUUUUCAGCCUAUCCAAACGGGCUCUUUGUUCAUAUCUUGGCUUUUUUUGGUUUCGAGUUCUUGCAAAGUAGUCUUAACUACUCAUUGCCUUAAGUUUUUGGUUAAAUCCUUCUAUAUUAUUGAUUGUCUGGGGUUUGUAGAGCGGUUACUGAUGUCUUGGAUUGCUCCUUUCGUAACUUGAAAUAUAUUUAGUUGGGUAUUUAGAUUCUUUCACAUGGUCUCGUUUCUACAGUUGGUAUUACUCUAUUGUUCGUUUGGUUUGCAUUUCUCUCUUGUUCAAUUCCGUGCAUUGAGCCAUUAAUUUGUUUCAAAAUUAUCUUGUAGUUUGUUAAAUCUGCACAUUCUCUGCCCCUGACCCACUUUCAGUUUUUUGACUCUACUCUCCCUCAACUUUUAGUCCAUUCUUGUAUGGUGUCUCUCCUUAGGUUCAUCUCUAGUUCCAUGAAAUACAACAGAAGAGUAAUGAAAACAGUAAGAGACACUAGAACUGGGCUACUCGUGCGGAAGGUUGUUUCAAAAGAAAUUCUUGUCCCUUAUUGGUUGUGUAAGAAUUUCCAAAUGAGUCUAUAAUGUUAUAGGUAACUAUGAAUAUCCAUAGUCUGUCGUAAUGCUUUGGUUGGAUGCUCAUAUUAUUUCACAUGGUGUGAUAACCGAACUUUUGAAAGUUCAUUUUUACUACUGCUAUUAUAUUGUAUUCAUUCGCUUUUGGCCCUUCUCUUUUAAUUUGUCUCAUUGAGAUUUUUCUCCCCGUUAAAUUCAUUUGUCAAAAUAAAGCAAUAUAAUUAAACAAAGUUCUACCAAAGCCCAUGUAAACCCCAGAAUUACACGUGUAGAAGGGCGUUGAGUGGUACACUUCCUUUAUUGGUUGUGUAAGGGUAAUCAAAGGGUGUUUAUAGCACUCUGGCCGCUCCACCCAUAUGUUCAAGAUUUUGGUUUGAACGCUCAAAUUCUUUUACAAAAAUAAUACAACAACAAAUGCAGUGUAUUCCCACAUAGUGCGGUCAGGGGAGGGUAAAAUGUAAGGAGUCCAUACCACUUCCUCCGAAUAAGUAGAGAGGGUGUUUCCAAUAGACCCCCGGCUCAAGACAAAGGACAGUAAACAAAGUCGUAAUAAAACAUGAAACAAGAUGGAAUAACAGAACUAAGACACCCACAAGGUAUUCUACACACUAACACUAACAAAUCACACCCAAACCCUCCUAACUAGAAGCUCUAACCUAUGUACACAAUCCUAAGACUACUAACCCGGCUACACCAAAGCACUCCUAUCUACUGGCUACAACUCAUUCACGCACACUAGCCCUCUAGCCUAAUUCGCGUCCUCCAUACCUGUGUAGGGUCAUGUCCUCAGGAAGUUGUAACUGUUCCAUGUCACGUCAAUUCAAUGCUCUUAUGGCCUACCUACCUCUUUAAUGGCGAGUCAAUUGUGUGACUUAUCUGACUAUUGAAGCAAUGAUGCUUGAUUGGAUCUUCAUUUUGAGUUAUAAUACAUUCUUCACUUUACUACUCGAACAAUGUGUUGUGGAUCUUUCAAAAAAAGAUGUCAUUUGUGGUCUAACACCUUAGGUUUUGUGAUUGAAGGAAGGCACUAGUUAGGAACUUAUCAAUAUAAUGCAAUUGAAAAUUAUAAACACUGCCAAUAAUUAGUUGGUAAAAUGGUUUGAGAAAGCUUUUAUUGUGCGAGAUGAAAUAAAACUGUCAAUCAAAAAUUUCUAGUUUCGUAUUCCUAAUCACAAAAUUUUUUAUUCAUAACGUCCUUAAGAAUGAAGAUUAUUUUAAAAACUAAAUUUUGUUGUAUUGAUGCUCAUUAAAGAGAGAGUCCACGAGCGAUGGGACACAUGCCUGUACUUAAGUGCUACCAAAGGGUGAAGUGCUGCUUAGGUUUUGAGUAGAUUAGGGCAAGACAUGCUUCAAGCAAUGCGAAGGUACUCUUCCCUGUGUAUAUUCUCUCGCUUAAAUGAUGAAACUAUGUAAUGCUUAGUUGAAUCUUAGUUUUGAUUAGAUUCUUAAAUGAUGGCACUUUGUAAAGGCUUGAGUUAGAUCGUAGUUUUGAUUGGAUUUUUCUAUGUUUGCACAUUAUUAAUUGUAGGGGGUGGGCAUUAGGUCCGUUUCCGUUUUGGAAAACCCAGUUCAGUUUUUCUGUUUUUGUUUGAUAAAAGUGAAAACCGAAAAUUAUUUUGGUUUGGUUUUCUCAAUUUGGGCUUUUUCAUGUUGCGAAUUUUGAACGGGUGAUAAUUGCGUUUUGUUUUCAUGUAAAAUAUUCAGAAUUCUUGGAAACCCGCGUAUAUUAAUCGGUUGACAUUACCAAUCACUUUUUAUUGAAUAAUAAGUGACAUUACCCAUCAUUACUUUGGAUAUGUAAGAAGCACCAGAGGGCCAAUUUUGCCCUUGAUCUAUGUUGAAAUGGUCCAACUUUUCUCUCCUUUAAAAGUUGGGGGUCAUCCAUGUCCUCGCCAUCUAAGUUUCUUGGACUUUUCAAAAAUGUUGCAUCACCCGUGUUAGAUCCUCCAAAAAUGCACUACUUUUGAAGGAUCCGACAUGCCCCUGAUGACAUUUUUUUUGAGUAUGAGCAACAUAGCUUGCUGUUACAAUUGGGGCUCGAAAGCUGAACUUCUAACCAUAAGGACAAAUUUGGAUCUUUCCUUUAUUAUAUACUAAUAAUUAGGCUCUAUUAACUGGAGUAGCACAAAAACUUGCCACAUUGCUAUUGUCAAAAAAAUUGAGCUUCACAGCAACCCAAAAGAAUUUGUAUUGUGAAGUAAUUCUAUAAAAAUAUAUUUGAAUGGAAGUUUGCUGCCUUUGCAGUUUUGUCUAUUCGGCUUUGUUCUAUUCACUCAUGCCUUGAAAUAUACUUCAGCUGCAUUUACUGUCUGUCUUGACUUCUCUGUCUGCUGUUCUUGUGAUUGUGGGACCUUAGUGCAACACUGCUCUUCGUAUUUGUGAUGUCCAAGGAUUUAUUUAAAUUGUUUGUUGCUCAAUCACUCUGACCAUUCUUUCCUAGCUUCUUGAUGGUCACUUCAGAGUAUCUGUAUUACUUAGUGGCAUUAUGUUUUCUGGUUAUGGUUGUUAGUAGUAUAGGGUUGAGUGUUUGUCGACUUUUUCAUAGAUUGUUAAAUUAUCAUAUCAUUUGCCUUGAUUACUUGCAAAACUGCGGAUCCGGUUCAGAUGCUAGUAAUGAACUUAUUGCUUCAUGAUUUUAGCUUGUUGCAACUUCACUUGAAGUUGGGGAAAGUUCUCUCUUAAUGGUUACUUAAAUCAGUGCUACAAUUGUGUGCUGCACUAAUGAUGAAAAAUACCUGCCUUUCACUUGGAUGUGCUGUUUAACUCGAUAUUUUAGCACAUCACAUUUGUCAGGAUUCUGUAGCGUUAGUAGUGUGCGGUUCAGUUCGUGAGUCUCUAUUUGGGCAGGUCCAUUAUUGAUGUUCGCACUUAUUCUAUGAAAAAUAUGAGUAUCAGUUCAUAUUUCUCUUAGCUUCGAGUUAUUAUUGAAGAAGCUUUUGAGAUCUUUUGCUGCCUUGUAAAUAAAUUGCCAACUUUAACGGUCUGCAAGUAUUAAAUUAAAAGAAAUAUGUAUAUAAAUACAUAAUAUAAGCACCUACUAAUACAUGUGUAAUUAGUAAAUAUGGGUGUGAUUAGGGAGUAUUUAACCAUAUUCACAAGCACGAGGACAAUGCAGUGGGAGUUUUUCUAUAACUCAUAUUAAAUAAGUAUUUCGUUUUGUUCAAGUUUUGGUGAUUUAAGUGGUCUAAUACUGAUCUGUAUCGACAUUGUACUGUACUUGUUGACGAUUCACAAUUCCGUAAUACUAUAUUGUUGUUUCUCACAAUUGA